CAGAAUUCUCUUGCCAGGAGCCAGCUGCCCCAUAGAUUUGUUUAACUGUGCCUGAGGAAAAAAUGGUGGCCAUCCAUUUUGCGCAGACAAAGAUCUCAUUUUUUUUGCAUGAAAAAGGGUAAAGUGACAAUACAGCUGUGGGUUUGGUUUUUUGGAGGUGAUUGCAAAUGUCAUGGAAACAAAUAAGGAGCCAGGUGAAAAUUUCAUCACUGCAAAGAGACUCUCUGCAAUGGAAAUUUGAUUUCUCAGCAUGCUUUCAACAGCUAAAUUAUUUCUCACGUUGCUGGAUGCCAUGUAGCUGGAGCCGUGGCAGUCCCAGGAUUCCAUAGGGUACAUCUGAGUCACUCACAAAGGCUCAUCACUUGAACUCUCUUGGAUUGCUUUGGUCUAUUGAAAGUAAAAGGCAUGGAUGGGUGUACCUGAUGCAGUUACACAUCUAACGAACACACAGACAGCCUCGUCCACCUUUCCUUGCUCAGCUCUCUCGUACAUGCAGGUGUGGCGGGAGCACUGACUUUCAUCCGUGAAAUGCUCAACACUAAGCUGUUCUUAUUUUGAAAAAGACUUAAAAAGAGCCAUUGAAGGGGCCCUGGUCAAGGACAACUCCAUGCUUUUCUCCCAUUCUUUCUUUAUCUCUAGUCUUUCCUCCCUUGCUCCUGUGGGAAAUUUUCACAGCACGGAUGGAGAGGAGGCUUGUUUUGAGUGUCUGUUUCUUUACUUCACGUAAAGCU